CGCGCAGGCCCCGCCCGGACCGCGGCCUCCGGCCCCGCCCCUUAACGGCGGCGCCAAUCAGCGUGCGUCCUGGAGGCGGGGCCUGCGGCGGCGCGCGGCUUGUCUGCUAUGCGCGUGCGCUUUGGGCGGUCCACGCGUUCCUCUUAGCGCCGGGUCACCGCUGCCCUCCUUGAGUGGUCUUUUCCCCGAACCUCCUCCGCGGUCCCUCUGGUGUUUCGGGAUGCCAGUCCAGUGCCGGAUCGCCAUCUUGCUGCUCCCCUAGUCUCGUCAUUGGCAUGCAUGUCUAGGCGCAUUGUAGGUGACCACCCACCUCCACACCCCCAAGGCCCACCCGACGCUUUAAUGACACCUCAGAACCCAGGCGCCAGCCCCUUCUUCCGCCUCCUCCUUGGUCCACCGCCUUCUGUUUCCGUGGGCUCUAGGACCUUCCUCGGAAAUUUCCCGUCCCUCUUAUGUCCCUUCACUCUCCCCUGGGCGCUCCCCUGGCUCCGCUGCUCCCCCAGGGCUGAGCCAGGGCGGUCCAGGGCAGGUAUUUCAGAAAAGACUUCUGAGUGAGUGGCCGAAGCUAUGGUCAGUGCCAGGGGUGAGCUGGGCCUCCCGUCAGGCUUUUCCGGGCUUCCGGCCCCUGGGGGAUGGGAGGAUGCAUGUGGGAAGGGUCUGGGCUCCCCCGAGGGCAACCAGCUGGGUCCGCACGCCCUCAACUCCCUGCAAGUGCAGCCCUGGGUCUCCCGGUCCCUGCUCUGGUUGGAGGCGGUGCCUGGGCGGAACCCCAAAGAUCGCGGCGGACAGGUGCCACUUGUUUAUUUAAAGUCCCCGAUAUAUGCCCAGGAGUGGGACUGCAGGAUCCCAUGGUAGUUCCACUUUUGGUUUCUUAAGAAACCUCCGUAACCAUUCUCCACCAUGGCUGAACCAGUUCACAUUCCCACCGUCAGUAUGGGAGGGUUGUCUUUUCUCCACACCUUUCCAGCAGUUAUUAUCUGUAGACUUUUUAAUGAUGAAGCUGGGUUCCUUCUGAAGCACCCUGGCUUCCAGGAAAUAAACAGUAGGUGAAAAA